rnacentral:rRNA from 1 species
AGUCGCACGGGAAUACGUAGGGUGCGAGCGUUAAUCGGAAUUACUGGGCGUAAAACGUGCGCAGGCGGCUUUGCAAGACAGAUGUGAAAUCCCCGGGCUCAACCUGGGAACUGCAUUUGUGACUGCAAGGCUAGAGUGCGGCAGAGGGAGAUGGAAUUCCGCGUGUAGCAGUGAAAUGCGUAGAUAUGCGGAGGAACACCGAUGGCGAAGGCAAUCUCCUGGGCCUGCACUGACGCUCAUGCACGAAAGCGUGGGGAGCAAACAGGAUUAGAUACCCGCGUAGUCCCUGUCUCUUAUACAC